CUGAGUCACCUCUUCCGAUCAUGUUUUUACGUCGGGUUUCCACCGUCUCAUCUCUCGAUUCUUCUGAUUCUACCUUACCCUCUCAGAUGCUACUUCUCGAACCUUUCUUUUCCACCGCUUCCUCUUAUAGCUCCUCCUAAAUCGAUUCAAAACUAGCACUCACAUUCUCCCCCCCUUUAUCCACCCACAUACGCCACUGUUUCACCUUCAUCACAAUCGUCAUCACCGACCACUACCAUGACCAUCGCCACCAUCAGUCCCUUCACCACUUCUCAUGGUACCCGUUCUCGCCUCUAAUUUCCCUUCGCCGAGUGUAUUCUUCAGGUAGCUUCUUCUGUAUCUUUCUUCUUUGUUUUGUGUUUUGUAAUUUUAUGUUACUUACGUUUCUAUUCAGAGGGUGUUUGGUAAAGCUUAUUAUUGGCUUAUUUUUCGAGCUUAUUUUUAUAAGCUUAUUUUUUUCUGACUUAUUUUCCAACGACUUGACUUGAAAAAUAAGUCAGAAAAAAUUAACUUAUUCACCUUCAUCAAUUUCAUCUUCGCUGCCAUCACCUUCGUUUUUUUCCACCAAAACUUGAGGAUUAUCCAACACGACUGGAUUCAAUUCCUUUAGGUUUGCAGCUUUGUACUCUUUCAUUCUAUCACGCCCCAUUGGUAUACAUUUUAACCCGUCUUUCCUCUUCAGUAAUCUACUCCCGGAUUCCCUUUCCUGGGCCAUCCUUUUCCUCUCUUUCUUCGUGAUAUUAAUCUUUGUCUGAACGGCUUUCUGGAACAAAAUCCUUUUGGGGGGUUUGGGCGAUUUCAUGUUUUUCUUUUCAGGUAUCAUCAACACUGCACAUCAGGUGACGAUUUCAAUGUUUUCUCAUGUUUCUUAAUUCGUUUUUUUAGAGUUCUAAUUGAUUUGUAAUUAUUGAUUCUAACGUUAUGUUGGUUUUUGGGUACGUUAUGGAAGAUGGGUAUGAGUUUUUGCAGAUAGGGAGCUUGUGACUAUUUUUUCUGCCGCAAAUUAUUGUGGUGAAUUUGAUAAUGUGGGUCUGAUGAUGAGUAUUGAUGAAAGUUUGAUGGGUCCUUUUUUUUAACCGGCAAAUAGAUAGAGGGUAACCCGAUCUGAUGGAUCAGAAAUGCCUGGCGGGCCAAGAGGGGCACCACUCACCACCAAAGGGAACGAAGAAUCGAACCCACGCCAAUCCAGAGAAAUUCCCCCAAAUGUGUUCAGCCAAGAAUCGAACUCUUGACCUCACCCACUGAGGCCUAUAACCCAAGAUGCAUCACAACCAGCUAGGCUGGUGAUGACUUGCGAUGUAUCCUUUUCAAAUCUUGAAGCCGGCUGAUAGGAAACCAAGAUUCUUAUGUCAUAAUGGUGUCCUAAAAGCUUUUAAGGUAUCCCAGCAACAAAUUAAAUUGGAAUCAAUUCUAUCUGUGGCUCGAAUGCUAUUGAUAACAUGUUAAACACAAAAGAGGUUCUUCAUAGAGAGGAGCUUUUAGGCGGGUGUUGAAGGCAAAACACAGGUGGACAAAGUAAUUGACAUGCUUUUUGGUGGGUGUUUCUUCUUAUUUUAUUGUAUAUUAUCAUGAAGGCUGUUAAAUAUUUUUAUGUUUUAAAGUGAAGAAAUAAAGAAAAUGGAUUAAUCUCUCA